rnacentral:tRNA from 1 species
CGGGGAUUGGCGCAGCCAGGUAGCGCGCCUGCUUUGGGAGCAGGAGGUCGCCGGUUCAAAUCCGGCAUCCCCGACCA